GAUGAACGCUGGCGGCGUGCCUAAUACAUGCAAGUCGAGCGAACGGACGAGAAGCUUGCUUCUCUGAUGUUAGCGGCGGACGGGUGAGUAACACGUGGAUAACCUACCUAUAAGACUGGGAUAACUUCGGGAAACCGGAGCUAAUACCGGAUAAUAUUUUGAACCGCAUGGUUCAAAAGUGAAAGACGGUCUUGCUGUCACUUAUAGAUGGAUCCGCGCUGCAUUAGCUAGUUGGUAAGGUAACGGCUUACCAAGGCAACGAUGCAUAGCCGACCUGAGAGGGUGAUCGGCCACACUGGAACUGAGACACGGUCCAGACUCCUACGGGAGGCAGCAGUAGGGAAUCUUCCGCAAUGGGCGAAAGCCUGACGGAGCAACGCCGCGUGAGUGAUGAAGGUCUUCGGAUCGUAAAACUCUGUUAUUAGGGAAGAACAUAUGUGUAAGUAACUGCGCACAUCUUGACGGUACCUAAUCAGAAAGCCACGGCUAACUACGUGCCAGCAGCCGCGGUAAUACGUAGGUGGCAAGCGUUAUCCGGAAUUAUUGGGCGUAAAGCGCGCGUANGCGGUUUUUUAGUCUGAUGUGAAAGCCCACGGCUCAACCGUGGAGGGUCAUUGGAAACUGGAAAACUUGAGUGCAGAAGAGGAAAGUGGAAUUCCAUGUGUAGCGGUGAAAUGCGCAGAGAUAUGGAGGAACACCAGUGGCGAAGGCGACUUUCUGGUCUGUAACUGACGCUGAUGUGCGAAAGCGUGGGGAUCAAACAGGAUUAGAUACCCUGGUAGUCCACGCCGUAAACGAUGAGUGCUAAGUGUUAGGGGGUUUCCGCCCCUUAGUGCUGCAGCUAACGCAUUAAGCACUCCGCCUGGGGAGUACGACCGCAAGGUUGAAACUCAAAGGAAUUGACGGGGGCCCGCACAAGCGGUGGAGCAUGUGGUUUAAUUCGAAGCAACGCGAAGAACCUUACCAAAUCUUGACAUCCUUUGACAACUCUAGAGAUAGAGCCUUCCCCUUCGGGGGACAAAGUGACAGGUGGUGCAUGGUUGUCGUCAGCUCGUGUCGUGAGAUGUUGGGUUAAGUCCCGCAACGAGCGCAACCCUUAAGCUUAGUUGCCAUCAUUAAGUUGGGCACUCUAAGUUGACUGCCGGUGACAAACCGGAGGAAGGUGGGGAUGACGUCAAAUCAUCAUGCCCCUUAUGAUUUGGGCUACACACGUGCUACAAUGGACAAUACAAAGGGCAGCGAAACCGCGAGGUCAAGCAAAUCCCAUAAAGUUGUUCUCAGUUCGGAUUGUAGUCUGCAACUCGACUACAUGAAGCUGGAAUCGCUAGUAAUCGUAGAUCAGCAUGCUACGGUGAAUACGUUCCCGGGUCU
rnacentral:rRNA from 1 species